GGGGACAGAGGCACCCAGAGCUAGACCAUGCCCACUCCUUUCCCUGCUCUAAGACAGUGGCAAGAGGAAUCUGGAGGGAUAAGCCCCGAGGUCCCAGGAAUCCUGAGAAAUGUCUACAGCCCGCAGGAUUUAGAUCGACCUUCAGAUUGAUCCGGUUGGGAACCCUUCCCCGCGGUCCUCCUAUCCACUGCGCAGCGAAUGGGCACCACCCCUGGCCUCUUUGCUGCUGCUCUGUUUUUUGGGUUGCUGCCCCAGGAGCAUCGUCUUGACGCUUAGCCUGCAAGGCGUCAGAGAGAAAAAGUCUUUGUGGAACUUGGAACUUUUCUCUUCAUUAACAUGACAAACAGGCUACCUCUAUCAAGGGCAGCCGAGUGAGACCAGCCUGGAAUUUAGAAUCUCCUUAUAAAUAAAGUCUCAGCUUUAAGCAUUAAUGAAAGACAUGGGAUCUUUAUGGCGCCAUUCAUUUCUGAUCUUGCCAAUUCAGUAGCUAGAGUGUCUUCUAUCUUCGCCCCUGCCACUAAUUAUGGAACUCUGCCCUGAUGUGCGGUAGCUCAGGUUCUUAGCAGGAUCAUUAUUCAUCUAAAAAUAUUAUAUAAUAUCUAAGACUGGAUAAAAGGACUUCAAAUUGCUAAUAUUUGUAUUUCUAGCUAGAAUUUUC
rnacentral:lncRNA from 1 species